CUAAUUAUUUAUUUAUUUAUUUUUAAUCUGUCUGCAUCUAGACAAAUGAUCACAGUGAAUCAGCUGCUGUUUUUAUGUACUUCUCUCCAUCCUCUAAGAAAUCACGUGUCUGCUGCUCAGAACCAUUAGGUAACCAAGAGAAAUUUUCUAGGUCUAGGAAGACGUCUUGUCCAGGUCAUCGGUAUGUGUACACAUACACAUUUUUCAUAUGUUUCUCUCUUGAAAAAUCCAACAUUUCAUUGGGGGAAAAAAGCAUUCAAGUCCCAAUAUAAUGAGGCUGUUCAGAAAAACGGGAAAUAAAAGGACAAUGGAUGAAAUUCA
rnacentral:lncRNA from 1 species